rnacentral:rRNA from 1 species
UACGUAGGGUGCGAGCGUUAAUCGGAAUUACUGGGCGUAAAGCGUGCGCAGGCGGUUAUGCAAGACAGAUGUGAAAUCCCCGGGCUCAACCUGGGAACUGCAUUUGUGACUGCAUGGCUAGAGUACGGUAGAGGGGGAUGGAAUUCCGCGUGUAGCAGUGAAAUGCGUAGAUAUGCGGAGGAACACCGAUGGCGAAGGCAAUCACCUGGACCUGUACUGACGCUCAUGCACGAAAGCGUGGGGAGCAAACAGG